AGCCUCUUGACCAAUUAAUAUAAGAGGUACUGCCUGCCCAGUGACACCUGUUCAACGGCCGCGGUAUUAUGACCGUGCAAAGGUAGCGUAAUCACUUGUCUUUUAAAUAAAGACCAGUAUGAAUGGCGAAACGAGAGCCUAACUGUCUCUCCAAGCUAGUCAGUGAAAUUGAUAUUCUCGUGCAGAAGCGAGAAUAUUAUUACAAGACGAGAAGACCCUAUGGAGCUUUAAGCUGGAAUUAAACCUGUAAAUAACUAAAACAACCACUAAUAUACAGCUUUAGGUUGGGGCGACCACGGAGAAAAAUAAAACCUCCGAGAUGAAUUAGCUAAGAAAAACACAUCAAAGCAACAAAAAUAUUGACAUAUUGACCCAAUAUUUGACCAACGAACCAAGUUACCCUAGGGAUAACAGCGCAAUCUUCUCAUAGAGUCCAUAUCAACGAGAAGGUUUACGACCUCGAUGUUGGAUCAGGGCCCCCAAAUGGUGCAGCAGCUGUUAAAGGUUCGUUUGUUCAACGAUUAAAGCCCUACGUGAUCUGAGUUCAGACCGGAGAAAUCCAGGUCAGUUUCUAUCUGUAAAAAGAUUUUUCUAGUACGAAAGGACCGAAAAAACAAGGCCUCUGGGGAAACCCAAGCCUUCCUGAAAACCUCUGAAUAUAAAUAAGAGGUCAAAGGAGAUAAAACAAGUCUAAUCGACUU
rnacentral:rRNA from 1 species